GUCCAUGCCCUAAACGAUGUACACUUGAUAUCUGCCCUCAGGGUAGGUGUCGGAGCUAACGCGUUAAGUGUACCACCUGGGGAGUACGCUCGCAAGGGUGAAACUCAAAGGAAUUGACGGGGGCCCCGCACAAGCAGUGGAGUAUGUGGUUUAAUUCGAUGCAACGCGAAGAACCUUACCUAGGCUUGAAAAGCCGUCUAAACCUGUGAAAGCAGGGUACCCGCAAGGGGGGCGGUACAGGUGCUGCAUGGCUGUCGU
rnacentral:rRNA from 1 species